ACUGUAGAAAAGAUACAAGACUUGUUCUAAACUGCUGGAUGAUCCUUCCGACAGACCUGUGCUCCUAUCCUGACACGUACACAUUCACUUAAAAUAUACGUUGCUGAAAUUUCUUCCAGGACAAUAUUAAGCUAAGAAGGCAUAGAAAAACUCAGCAGUCUGCUUAAAAAUGAAGAAGUCGUGACACCUAGCGCCUUGGUUUGGAAACAGACUACAGAAACUGCAGCCACAGCAUCCUACCAGGACACAAGUGGCCCCUGUGCAGAACCUGUCCGCAGCCCAAGAAGAGGAAGAUGAAGCCAGCAGCAACCUGGAUGUAAGUCGAGCACAGGACAAUCGUGCCAAGCAGAGAGGCAGUAAACCACGUUAAUGGAGCCGUGUACAUACACCUGCAGUGGCACU